rnacentral:pre_miRNA from 1 species
GCUGCGUGUUUGUUAAGUGAGAAAUUCCAUAUCAAUUCGCAGAUGCCGCUUCAGAACUGGUUUUACGUUCCAGUUCUGAAGCGGCAUCUGCGAAUUGAUAUGGAAUUUCUGGGACGUGUAGGGUUUAGC